UUUAUUAAAAACAUGUCUUAUUGAAUUUAAUUUUAAGUCUUGCCUGCCCAAUGAUAAAAUAUUUAAUGGCCGCGGUAUAUUGACCGUGCAAAGGUAGCAUAAUCAUUAGUUUCUUAAUUAGAAGCUUGUAUGAAGGGUUUAAUGAAAAAAUAGCUGUCUCUAUUUAAAUUUUUUUGAAGUUUAUUUUUAAGUAAAAAAGCUUAAAUAAGUAUAGAAGACGAGAAGACCCUAUAGAGUUUUAUAUUUAUUUAAAUGAAUAAAUUUUUAGGAUUAUAAUAUUUAUAUUAAAUAAGUAUUUUAUUGGGGUGAUUGAAAAAUUGAUUAAACUUUUUUUUUAUGUAAUCAUUAAUUAAUGAAAAAUUGAUCCUUAAUUUAAGAUUAAAAGAUAAAAUUACCUUAGGGAUAACAGCGUAAUUUUUUUUAGAGUUCUUAUCGAAAAAAAAGAUUGCGACCUCGAUGUUGGAUUAAAAGAAAUUAUUGGUGUAGGAGCUAAUAAAUUAGGUCUGUUCGACCUUUAAAAUUUUACAUGAUCUGAGUUUAAACCGGUGUG
rnacentral:rRNA from 1 species